UAGUCCUCGUUGCCCCCUCCCCGCCUCCUCAGCCCCUCCUCUGUGCCCACGCAACCUUUCGAACGACAGUCUGUAUUCUGUAUUUUAGAAAAUAGGUCCUUAGCUUCCCCCGCCCCCAUUUAGAGUGAUGAACAGAAAGCGGACGCUAUAAAGGGGGACAGGGAGAGGGGCUGGCCUCUUCUUGCCAUGAGGUCAGACGCUGAGUUUUAGAGAAAAAGGCUGCUUAACUGCUGCUGCUUAUCAUGUAACCUCAAAAGGAAACUGAUCAUCUUUCUCAUGCUCUCACGUACUUGGGUUAUUAUCGCUGAUUACAGCUGGAAACAAUUGAUUUGCCUUUACGUAUUUCUAUGACUUGGCUCUUCAAACACAAAGGUUAACAGGAAGAUCAGGAGGCUGAACUUUGACCUUUUGGCUUUCUUGGCCUGAUGAUGAACGCCUGAGGUAUUUUGCAGAGUGCAGUGAAAAGGUGUUUAUACCAUGAAUGUAUGACAGAAGAUGAUGUGAAGAUCAGAGUAAAUAAUCUGCUGAAUGAUUCACCACCAUGACUAUUAAAACAAAUCAGCCUCUCCUACACACUCACCCUUGCCUGUUCACGUACUAUAAUGUAUAUACUUACAAACAAGUGCUUGGCUGGGAAUAACUCGUAUGGGAGUCGAGGCAAUGCAUUUAGAUUCUAUAUGGGUCAGAUCCUUUUGAAAAUGUACACCCCUUGCCAUGGAUUCCCACAUUUAAAAGAAACCUGGAGAGACUUGUGGGAUGUUCAAGGAUCAGAGCUACAGAGGUAACCCACAGAUGCAAAUGAAGGUUGACUGAACUGAGAACACCUUGAGUAUGGGAAUUUUGUGCCUUCAGAUUUUCACCCUCCUCUUCUUCUCCUCUACUUUCCCCUCUCACCUUUGCAAUAUAAGCACAUGGUCACUCUACGAGUUUUGGUUCAACACAGAACGGGGAAAAAAAACCCAGAAUGACCCAGAAUGAUAAAAAAGGUGAAUUUUAAAUUAUUUUCUGAUCUGUGAAAUACUAUUUUGAACACUGUAAGAAGUUUCUAUUUCAUACCUUUGUCAAGGGUAAAGGAGGUGGGUCUAAUUAGGGAAGACAAGGUUUGGAAGAAAUAAAAAAUGAUCACUGGGCAAGACUCCUGAAUUUACCCUCGGCAUCUUUAGUAUCAUGAUAGAUGAUGGAACUAUCUGAAGGUGGCAGAUGACGAUGUAUCAUGGACCUUGCCAACCCUCCUGCUUUGUGCUGAUGUUUCAUAUCUUUCAAACAGGCAAUAAAAACAGUCUUGUUCAUCUGUGGCAUUGAACACCAUCCAGCAUUAAGAAAGGGGUUCUUAGACACAACACUGAUGUCAAAAUCUAGAGAUGGUGCCAGACUCCAGCCAAAGUGUUUGUAGCAAACAGGUGGGGAAAUGUAGGGUGAUAAUAAUGU